rnacentral:lncRNA from 1 species
UGAAAACACUAGAGAAAACGAAUCUAGGCUAGGGAUAUUAGCAAUUGAUACAGAUCAGAAUCAACUAUCUAAAAACAAUUAACAAAGCAAUAAAACUCACAUCAGAAGAUUUAAAGUUAAAUCUUGUUUUCCUACAUACCUUAAAUAAAACUCACAACACCAGCAACUCUCAGAAUCAUCACCAUUCUUUGGCAGUAUAGAUAUCCUCUACCAAUCAAUCCAAAACUCAAAUGUUGCUACAUCCCAGGAAUCUCUAUGAAGCAUGGUGCACAAAGCUGUUCUUAAAUGUAGAUGACACUGAACCAUCAAGUAAGAUUUGUUUGUGAUUCUUUUUCCAGGUUUACUACUUUU